CUACCCUUGGUCAGGUUGAAGUUCAGGUAACACUGAAUGGAGGACCGAACCGACUUACGUUGAAAAGUGAGCGGAUGAACUGAGGGUAGCGGAGAAAUUCCAAUCGAACCUGGAGAUAGCUGGUUCUCUCCGAAAUAGCUUUAGGGCUAGCCUCAAGUGAUGAUUAUUGGAGGUAGAGCACUGUUUGGACGAGGGGCCCCUCUCGGGUUACCGAAUUCAGACAAACUCCGAAUGCCAAUUAAUUUAACUUGGGAGUCAGAACAUGGGUGAUAAGGUCCGUGUUCGAAAGGGAAACAGCCCAGACCACCAGCUAAGGUCCCAAAAUAUAUGUUAAGUGGAAAAGGAUGUGGCGUUGCCCAGACAACUAGGAUGUUGGCUUAGAAGCAGCCAUCAUUUAAAGAGUGCGUAAUAGCUCACUAGUCGAGUGACACUGCGCCGAAAAUGUACCGGGGCUAAACAUAUUACCGAAGCUGUGGAUUGUCCUUUGGACAAUGGUAGGAGAGCGUUCUAAGGGCGUUGAAGCAUGAUCGUAAGGACAUGUGGAGCGCUUAGAAGUGAGAAUGCCGGUGUGAGUAGCGAAAGACGGGUGAGAAUCCCGUCCACCGAUUGACUAAGGUUUCCAGAGGAAGGCUCGUCCGCUCUGGGUUAGUCGGGUCCUAA
rnacentral:rRNA from 1 species